UCCAGACUCCUACGGGAGGCAGCAGUGGGGGAUAUUGCACAAUGGGGGAAACCCUGAUGCAGCGACGCCGCGUGGGUGAAGAAGUAUUUCGGUAUGUAAAGCCCUAUCAGCAGGGAAGAAAGAAGACGGUACCUGACUAAGAAGCCCCGGCUAACUACGUGCCAGCAGCCGCGGUAAUACGUAGGGGGCGAGCGUUAUCCGGAUUCACUGGGUGUAAAGGGAGCGUAGACGGCCGUGCAAGCCAGGAGUGAAAGCCCGGGGCCCAACCCCGGGACUGCUCUUGGAACUGUGCGGCUGGAGUGCGGGAGGGGCAGGCGGAAUUCCUGGUGUAGCGGUGAAAUGCGUAGAUAUCAGGAGGAACACCGGCGGCGAAGGCGGCCUGCUGGACCGCGACUGACGUUGAGGCUCGAAAGCGUGGGGAGCGAACAGGAUUAGAUACCCCUGUAG
rnacentral:rRNA from 1 species